rnacentral:lncRNA from 1 species
AUGAUGGAGAGGCUACCUCUAGGUUACAUCCUUAGGAACUGGGUGUCUGGAACCACCAAGGAUUUACUAUCUAAAAACAGAAUGGGAAGAGGACAGUUCCCAAAACAAGUGUGGAGAACAAGAUAUAGCAGUGGGGUGGAACUCUUACAUCACAAGUCAAAACUUCUUCAAGAGAAAGUGUAUAAUACAAAUUCAAAUAAGGAGUAAGAAUGAAUGCUAGGAUUUUGCAUACAUUAUGUAUAGUAUGAAGUCUGAUCAUUUCACCAAGACUCCAAACAUAUACAUAUACAGAUAAAGACAUAUAGAGAAACACGCAUAUUCUUUUUUUUUUUCUAAGACUUACUGACCUUAUUGAGAAGGUUGAGACCUGAGUUUAUUCCUUAGCUAUUUUACUUUUAUUUUAUAAAAAGAUUUUAUUUAUUGAUUUA